rnacentral:rRNA from 1 species
UACAGAGGGUGCAAGCGUUAAUCGGAAUUACUGGGCGUAAAGCGUGCGCAGACGGUCUCGUAAGUCGGGUGUGAAAUCCCCGGGCUCAACCUGGGAAUUGCAUUCGAAACUGCGAGGCUAGGGUACGGAAGAGGGAAGCGGAAUUUCUGGUGUAGCGGUGAAAUGCGUAGAUAUCAGAAGGAACAUCAGUGGCGAAAGCGGCUUCCUGGUCCAGUACCGACGUCAGGCACGAAAGCGUGGGAGCAAACAGG